rnacentral:rRNA from 1 species
GACUACCGGGGUAUCUAAUCCUGUUUGCUCCCCACGCUUUCGAGCCUCAGCGUCAGUUACAGUCCAGUAAGCCGCCUUCGCCACUGGUGUUCCUCCUAAUAUCUACGCAUUUCACCGCUACACUAGGAAUUCCACUUACCUCUCCUGCACUCCAGCACCACAGUUUCCAAAGCAGUCCCGGGGUUGAGCCCCGGGCUUUCACUCCAGACUUGCAGUGCCGUCUACGCUCCCUUUACACCCAGUAAAUCCGGAUAACGCUUGCCCCCUACGUAUUACCGCGGCUGCUGGCACGUAGUUAGCCGGGGCUUCUUAGUCAGGUACCGUCAUUUUCUUCCCUGCUGAUAGAGCUUUACAUACCGAAAUACUUCUUCACUCACGCGGCGUCGCUGGAUCAGGGUUUCCCCCAUUGUCCAAUAUUCCCCACUGCAGCCUCCCGUAGG